CUACGUGCCAGCAGCCGCGGUAAUACGUAGGGCGCGAGCGUUGUCCGGAAUUAUUGGGCGUAAAGAGCUUGUAGGCGGUUGGUCGCGUCUGCUGUGAAAGGCUGGGGCUUAACCCUGGUUUUGCAGUGGGUACGGGCUAACUAGAGUGCAGUAGGGGAGACUGGAAUUCCUGGUGUAGCGGUGGAAUGCGCAGAUAUCAGGAGGAACACCGAUGGCGAAGGCAGGUCUCUGGGCUGUAACUGACGCUGAGAAGCGAAAGCAUGGGGAGCGAACAGGAUUAGAUACCCUGGUAGUCCAUGCCGUAAACGUUGGGCACUAGGUGUGGGGGACAUUCCACGUUUUCCGCGCCGUAGCUAACGCAUUAAGUGCCCCGCCUGGGGAGUACGGCCGCAAGGCUAAAACUCAAAGAAAUUGACGGGGGCCCGCACAAGCGGCGGAGCAUGCGGAUUAAUUCGAUGCAACGCGAAGAACCUUACCAAGGCUUGACAU
rnacentral:rRNA from 1 species